AUAUCAGAAGGCACACCCGGAGAACUGAAACAUCUUAGUACCCGGAGGAAGAGAAAGAAAAUUCGAUUCCCUUAGUAGCGGCGAGCGAAACGGGAAGAGCCCAAACCAACAAGCUUGCUUGUUGGGGGUGUAGGACACUCUAUACGGAGUUACAAAGGACGACAUUAGACGAAUCAUCUGGAAAGAUGAAUCAAAGAAGGUAAUAAUCCUGUAGUCGA
rnacentral:rRNA from 1 species